CUACGGCAGGCUGCAGUGGGGAAUAUUGGACAAUGGGCGAAAGCCUGAUCCAGCCAUGCCGCGUGUGUGAAGAAGGCCUUCGGGUUGUAAAGCACUUUCAGUGGGGAAGAAAGCCUUGGGGCUAAUACCCUCGAGGAAGGACAUCACCCACAGAAGAAGCACCGGCUAACUCCGUGCCAGCAGCCGCGGUAAUACGGAGGGUGCGAGCGUUAAUCGGAAUUACUGGGCGUAAAGCGCGCGUAGGCGGUCUGAUAAGCCGGUUGUGAAAGCCCCGGGCUCAACCUGGGAACGGCAUCCGGAACUGUCAGGCUAGAGUGCAGGAGAGGAAGGUAGAAUUCCCGGUGUAGCGGUGAAAUGCGUAGAGAUCGGGAGGAAUACCAGUGGCGAAGGCGGCCUUCUGGACUGACACUGACGCUGAGGUGCGAAAGCGUGGGUAGCAAACAGGAUUAGAUACCCUUGUAGUC
rnacentral:rRNA from 1 species